UUUAGCUGGAUGAGAGGAAACUUUCACGUCCGAUUUUGAAAGGGGAGUCCUAUUGGAUAGGAUCCUAUCCAAAUUUUUCAUUUGCUAGGCCGUUAGUUAAAAAACCCACUUUCU